rfam:Schistosoma haematobium scaffold1006_1, whole genome shotgun sequence.
AUUCAGCUGACGAGUACCAAACAGGACCAAACGCGCGUCCUAGAU